rnacentral:rRNA from 1 species
AACGAACGCUGGCGGCAGGCUUAACACAUGCAAGUCGAACGCCCCGCAAGGGGAGUGGCAGACGGGUGAGUAACGCGUGGAAAUCUACCCAGUUCUACGGAACAACUGAGGGAAACUUCAGCUAAUACCGUAUACGCCCUACGGGGGAAAGAUUUAUCGGAAUUGGAUGAGCCCGCGUUGGAUUAGCUAGUUGGUGAGGUAACGGCUCACCAAGGCGACGAUCCAUAGCUGGUCUGAGAGGAUGAUCAGCCACACUGAGACUGAGACACGGCCCAGACUCCUACGAGAGGCAGCAGUGGGGAAUAUUGGACAAUGGGCGCAAGCCUGAUCCAGCCAUGCCGCGUGAGUGAUGAAGGCCUUAGGGUUGUAAAGCUCUUUCAGUGGGGACGAUAAUGACGGUACCCACAGAAGAAGCCCCGGCUAACUUCGUGCCAGCCGCCGCGGUAAUAC